CCCGUCGCUCCUACCGAUUGAGUGAUCCGGUGAGCUGUCCGGACUGCGAUUAGUUCAGUUUCUGUUCUCUUCGCGGGAAGUUCUGCAAACCUUAUCACUUAGAGGAAGGAGAAGUCGUAACAAGGUUUCCGUAGGUGAACCUGCGGAAGGAUCAUUC
rnacentral:ncRNA from 1 species